CCCUUAGAUGUUCUGGGCCGCACGCGCGCUACACUGACACAAUCAACGAGUUUAUAACCUUGAUCUAGCGGUCCGGGUAAUCUUUUGAACCUGUGUCGUGAUAGGGAUAGAUUAUUGCAAUUAUUAAUCUUCAACGAGGAAUUCCUAGUAAACGUGAGUCAUCAACUCACAUUGAUUACGUCCCUGCCCUUUGUACACACCGCCCGUCGCACCUACCGAUUGAAUGAUUCGGUGAAAUCUCGGGACCGUGGAUGUUGCCUCCCGGCACUUUCCGCGGGAACUUGCUUAAACCUCAUCAUUUAGAGGAAGGUGAAGUCGUAACA
rnacentral:rRNA from 1 species